CCACCUGUCUCCGCUUCCCUCCCGGGAAGCCGCUCCAAGUCGCCGCACCCCUGCGUUAGCACCAUGCUCGCCGCCUACAGGGAAGCUGAGUUGCAGGGCGCCGUUCAGGUUCGUGCGCCCGAGGCUGUGGCCCCUCAGGCCUGCACUGCCCAGGCCGCCCAUCCGCACCCGCCUGCCCGCCAGCCCGCCCGCGAGGCGGCAGCGGAGUGGUAGGCGCGGCCGGGCCGGGCAUGCAAGGGUCACGCGCGGCCCGGCUCACUCAACCCGCCCCGGAGCUCCUACCUGGGCGGCCGCCGGCUUCCGGCGCAGCUCAGCGAGCACAGCCUCCCGGCGCAGCUACCCGCGGGAGGCGCAACGCUGCGGACUCCGCUCCCUCCGAGAGCUCCGCCCGCUCUUCCCACGCUCGGCGCCCGCGCCGCGCCACCGUGCGGCCAAGUCCGGCGCUGCGCCUGCUGGGAACGCGGUCGCCCCCGCCCAACCGUGAGAAAUGCGGCAGAGGAUCUGACCAGCCAGCCGACCAACCACGUUCUCUCCGGCAACGGGCCCGCCCUAACCUGAGGGCGGCUGCAGAGCUGUCCUAUUCUUCACCGGUUCUGGUUUCUUUUCUUCCAAAGUUUCUCUCAUGACAGCUCUUAUAAGUUUUCUGAAUACAACCUGUAGAGAAUUGGAGAAGAACUGUAGACCCUCCCUACAGAAAAACGCGCACUCUCAUAGAAGCAGAGUUUUGCAUGGUAUUUCAGGAUAUUUUGAAACUUCUCCAUGUCAUGACCGCCAACCUCAGACCUCUACAUGUGCCUGUGAGGGCAGAACUGACCAGCCUUUCUCCUGUGGGGCUCCAACUGCGGCGAUUCAUCAGAAAAUAGCCAGUGGUGCCCAGGAUGGCC